GACGAACGCUGUCGGCGUGCUUAACACAUGCAAGUCGAACGGAAAGGCCCUGCUUUUGUGGGGUGCUCGAGUGGCGAACAGGUGAGUAACACGUGAGUAACCUGCCCUUGACUUUGGGAUAACUUCAGGAAACUGGGGCUAAUACCGGAUAGGAGCUCCUGCUGCAUGGUGGGGGUUGGAAAGUUUCGGCGGUUGGGGAUGGACUCGCGGCUUAUCAGCUUGUUGGUGGGGUAGUGGCUUACCAAGGCUUUGACGGGUAGCCGGCCUGAGAGGGUGACCGGCCACAUUGGGACUGAGAUACGGCCCAGACUCCUACGGGAGGCAGCAGUGGGGAAUAUUGCACAAUGGGCGGAAGCCUGAUGCAGCAACGCCGCGUGCGGGAUGACGGCCUUCGGGUUGUAAACCGCUUUCGCCUGUGACGAAGCGUGAGUGACGGUAAUGGGUAAAGAAGCACCGGCUAACUACGUGCCAGCAGCCGCGGUGAUACGUAGGGUGCGAGCGUUGUCCGGAUUUAUUGGGCGUAAAGGGCUCGUAGGUGGUUGAUCGCGUCGGAAGUGUAAUCUUGGGGCUUAACCCUGAGCGUGCUUUCGAUACGGGUUGACUUGAGGAAGGUAGGGGAGAAUGGAAUUCCUGGUGGAGCGGUGGAAUGCGCAGAUAUCAGGAGGAACACCAGUGGCGAAGGCGGUUCUCUGGGCCUUUCCUGACGCUGAGGAGCGAAAGCGUGGGGAGCGAACAGGCUUAGAUACCCUGGUAGUCCACGCUGUAAACGGUGGGUACUAGGUGUGGGGUCCAUUCCACGGGUUCCGUGCCGUAGCUAACGCUUUAAGUACCCCGCCUGGGGAGUACGGCCGCAAGGCUAAAACUCAAAGGAAUUGACGGGGCCCCGCACAAGCGGCGGAGCAUGCGGAUUAAUUCGAUGCAACGCGUAGAACCUUACCUGGGUUUGACAUGGAUCGGGAGUGCUCAGAGAUGGGUGUGCCUCUUUUGGGGUCGGUUCACAGGUGGUGCAUGGCUGUCGUCAGCUCGUGUCGUGAGAUGUUGGGUUAAGUCCCGCAACGAGCGCAACCCUUGUUCACUGUUGCCAGCACGUUAUGGUGGGGACUCAGUGGAGACCGCCGGGGUCAACUCGGAGGAAGGUGGGGAUGACGUCAAGUCAUCAUGCCCCUUAUGUCCAGGGCUUCACGCAUGCUACAAUGGCUGGUACAGAGAGUGGCGAGCCUGUGAGGGUGAGCGAAUCUCGGAAAGCCGGUCUCAGUUCGGAUUGGGGUCUGCAACUCGACCUCAUGAAGUCGGAGUCGCUAGUAAUCGCAGAUCAGCAACGCUGCGGUGAAUACGUUCCCGGGGCU
rnacentral:rRNA from 1 species